ensembl:lncRNA
CUUUUGCAUUACAAGAUGUUAAUUAAUGCAAUGGAGACAUGGAUUUCUUGUGGAUUCCUGUUAUGUUUUUAUCAGCUGUCAGGUAUUUUAUUCUGAUGGCACCCAUUCACUGCAGAUCAUUCAUUGCUCAUCAAGUGAACUAAUGCUAAAUUUCUCCAAAUCUGUUUCAAUGAAGAAACAAACUCAUCUACAUCUUGGAAGGCCUGAGUGAAGUCGCCCUAAAGCUCUUCCUGUCAGCCUCCAUAUCUCAGCCAAGUUAUCAGGCGGCUCCAUGGGUGCAACGAAGUUCCCGAGAGCGACUGCAAGGCAACGACAGUGCUGAACUAUAUCCAGAUAUGAUCGCUGAUCUCAUGACAGGUGGAACGGGUGGAACUUGUGUAUUUCUGUCUCAGAAUGACUCUGAGAACGACUAUAGCUGCGAGAGCUCGACAAGACGUGCGUGUGAUCAACCGUUUGAAGAAGCGGCUCUUGCUCAGGAGACAGAAAGACAGCCAACGGGAGAGGAGAGCGCCAACCGCCACGGGCAGCUCAUAAAGCCCAGACAACUUCAUAAAAAGAGGAAACUGAGAUACAGAGAGAGAAAAUUGAAAGACAGAAACAAAGUGAAUGGGAAAGGCAGAUUGACAGACACACAGACAAAGGAUGGACAUCUGUUCUGA